UAAUAAGUGUUUUAUGGCACUUUUUAAAUCCAUAUCCACCUUGUGUGCAAUGUCAGUCGAUCUUCUUCAUGGAGAUCGACCAAACAUCAACCUUUAUCUUUUAACUCUUUGUCUGAAAAAUAUUAUGAAUAAACAAUUCAAAAU
rnacentral:misc_RNA from 1 species